CCGCCGGAUGCACCUCCUCCAGCCUCUCGCCCGCUCCCUCCACCAUAUUCACUGGGUGUCGACCAAGAACGGUCGCCUACAAAUGUUGUCGUCAACCUUCUCACUACCUCCGGAGGAUGGUCGCCGUCAACGUGCCCGCCGCUGCCGUCACUUGACCGCCACCGCAUCCUUAUCCAGGUGCCGCGCCUUCCAGAUCCAGGUGCUGUUUUCGUAUUCCCUUCUUUACGAUUUCUUUUCUUUUCUUGAUAACUUUCAUACGUGCGUACCUCCGGUAGGAUUCAGCAGAAACUACAAGCAUUUUGGCAUCCCUCAUGUGCUGGGUACUGGUGGAAGCAAUGGCUCUACACACAUUUGUUUUGAAUAGGCCAAGCCGUCAAGGUUUACAAGACUUCUCAGAAACAUCACUUCUUACGACGAAGAAAGCAGAGUUAAGCUAUUGACAUUUGACAGUCAAGGAUUUAGGACGAAUUAGAAAACAUCAUCAGUGCAAAAUAGAGGUUAAAGCAGGAGGUUGAGGUGGGCACUCCAUGCCAACAAAUUGAAUAAUAUUCUUCCAAAUGAAGUGGUACUAUUCCCCUCCAUAUUUUGUUGUUGUACGCACAUGAACCUAGAAAUUAAAUAUUGGUGGGCAUCUAUUUGAGGUCUGAUUUUUCUAGUUUGCAGUUCGUCUUGAUUAGGAACAAAAUUCUAGAUUCUGGAUCUAUGGGAU